rnacentral:rRNA from 1 species
AACGUAGGUGGCGAGCGUUAUCCGGAUUUACUGGGCGUAAAGCGUGUGCAGGCGGGGAACCAAGUGGUGUAUGAAAUUUCCCGGCUUAACCGGGAAGGGUUAUGCCAGACUGGUUUUCUGGAGUGCGAGAGAGGGGCGUGGAAUUCCGGGUGUAGUGGUGAAAUGCGUAGAGAUCGGCAGGAACACCCAGGGAGAAAUCAGCCGCCUGGGCAAGUGCUGACGCUGAGGUGCGAAAGCGUGGGGAGCGAACCGG